CACACAGUGUAUUAUCAACAUAUCCAAGUGGGCCGCAGGUAGUGAUAAUUCGUCUACGACAAUACGGAAAUCCACAAAGAAAUUUUCACUGAGGAAAUUUGACUCAUCUGCAAUCAACAUUUACAAUAUAACCGAUUGAUUUAGUAAUAGUUAUUUUUCAAAUUUGAAUAUCUUAAGUUUCACAAUUUACGAUUAAAUAUUUAAUUUUUUUCCUUAAUUUUGUUAUACCGGCUAUAUUUUUAACACAUGUUAUAGCAUGGGUAUCUGGUGCUGAGACGAAUUAUUGGAAGAUUAACAAAAAUGCAUCUUGUUAUCAACCUGGUGUACUUUGUGUUUGUUGUAGAAAUAAACGUCUUGCAGGAGAAGAGCCUACUUUGAACUAUCCACUUCUUUGUGAAGACAUAGGGUUAUAAUUUUGUUAUGACGCUAAUAAAAGUUGUUUAUGUUGCAUGGGAUCACGUGAUUAAUGAAUAUAAUAUUAUUUAUUUAUUGACUUUU